rnacentral:lncRNA from 1 species
GCCUGCCCGAAGAGGCGGCGCUGGGAGCAGCUCCAGAGACAGGAGAAGCUGCGAGAGGCAAGGAGCCCCCAGUGUUGGCCGCCCCCCGCCCUUUCCCUGGGCCGAGGAGAGGCAAGGACUGCCGAAAGGGCGGCAGCAAGAAGCAGGAAUCUGCGCUCCCCAGCACCACGGGGACUGGAGAGCCCUCCUUCCCUACCCAUUCCCAGAUCGCCGCCCAGCCCCCUCCGCUGCCUCCCCGGGCUCCUGAGCUCAGUCUCCGAGAACCCCCUCCCCUUUUCCCGUCCACAUGGCUGAGAAGGCGCAGGACGGAACACGGAUUGUACUCAGAGAAGAUGGAGCUGGGAGAGAGAAAUUGCCCAAGAGGAGGAGAAAGGAGGAAUACCUGCGAGGGCUCUGCUGCCCUACCCACCACACCGUAG